rnacentral:misc_RNA from 1 species
AACCUAGCACACCUGCGGUGUGUACCUGCGGAGGGAUCAUUAAAAUAUUACUAGUUAGCUUUGGAGAUUCCUCCAGAGUUAAUUAUGUAUUUCAAUCACUUGUUUACUUAUACCUGUUGCUUCCGUGAAAAUUAGGGUGCCUGCACUAUUCGUAGUUGUAGGUUACCUUUCACGGGUGUUUUUAAAAAAAUUUGUUUUGAAUGACUUGUCUGAUUAUUAGUUUUAAAUAAAGUUAAAACU